UUGCUUCCCGGAGUUCCUUCCAAACACUUCACCAGCUAGGCCAUGCACAAGAUGAACCCACAUUAGGCUAGUGAAGUGUUUGGAGGAACUCUAGGUGGCAC
rfam:Zea mays cultivar B73 chromosome 10, whole genome shotgun sequence.